UAGUAGUGAGUCUGACAUGACGUCUUUAACAUGAUGUAAACUGUGUUUAUAUUUUGCUUCUUUCAUCUGCUGUGGAUUAAAGAUGAGAAACACAAGAGCAUUACAAACACAGUAAGACACUGCAGAGCUGAUGAUUUCAGUAUUUGAAAUGUUCUCCACUUGUUUUACCACAUGUGCCUCUCACAUCAACAGUGUCCAAACACAACAUCCUUUUAUUAUUAAGAGAACAUGAAGAAAAUUAAUACCGUAAAUCAUGAGGAUGAAGUAAAAGGAAAAAUCUGCUUUAAUGUAGAUGGCCGUAAACAUUCAGGUCUCAUCAUGUAUCUUACAUUAAAUGCCAGUUCUGUACUGUAUAUUUCUAUGUUGGCAGUCAGCACAGUGCUGCAGAUUCAAGUCAAUAAAGAAAACAAAUGUCUGCAGAGUAAACAAGAUGUUCAGGCUAAAGAACAACUACAGCCAGUCUAUUUACACACAAUUUUCAGUCAUUCUGAGAACAUUUGAGCUCUACUGAGAACAUACCAUUUGUGAUAUUAUGUGUAAAGAAUUUUAAAAUGAUUAUAUUAUAGUUAUAAUCUCAAACUUGUCACAUUCAGGAAUGACAGACUCUCAAAGUAGAGAAGUCUGAUAAAAGUCACAAACCUUGCAACUGCUGCUUUGAACCAUGUGUUUUAAUGUAGGUAAAAAAAAACCUUUUUGUGAUAGAAAAAAAAUCUCUUUUCAUCAGUGUUUAUAAUUUUUCUUUAAUGACGUCAGUUCAGUUGGAUCAUUCUUCUUCUGCAUCUGUGACUGAACAUAACAGCAUCAAAUGUGAUCUCUGUUUGUCAGUGUAACUGAUCAGAAUGAAAGUUUAAGUACAUCACAGUGAUGCACAGUAGAGGGCGCUCGACUACCAUUUAUACACCUAUCAAUACUUUGAAUGACAGCACUGUAGAUGUGUGUAGUGCAGCUCUCAGGAUCACGUCAAAAUGCAGCGACACUCCCACCUGUAGCUCUUCAUGUCUCUAACUAUAAUAGACUCUGGCAGUUUGUGUCUAAGAAAACAUGGAUAUUAUCAUCAUCAAACAAGACCUCUUCAGAUUGUCCGUCUUCUUGCUGUGGACUACAGGUCUAAUUGAUGGCAGUGAUGUGACCCAGAACCCCAUAAUGUGGAAAGACCAGGGUGAAAAUGCAACAAUAUCCUGCAACCACAUCAAGGGCGGUAGCUACAACCAGAUGUACUGGUACAGACAGCUGCCAGGAGAAACAAUGAAACUAAUAGUUUUUACAACAACUGCAAAAACAGAUCAUGACUUUGAACCAGACUUCAAAAAUGGGAGAUUCUCAGCUACUAAGUCUGACGCUGCUAAUGGGACAUUCACAGUGAAGAAUCUGGAACCAAAAGAUAAAGGCUUGUAUUUCUGCGCUGUCAGUGAGCACAGUGAUACAGAUGCACUUGACAGCUGAACAAAAACCUCAGUGCACUGUUGGAACAACUGCUACCAACUCAAUUUAUCUCCUGUACUGUACAUCUCUCUCUCCUGUACUGUAGGGGAACCUCGAGCACCACAAACACUCCCAGUUACACUUUGAUGUGGAGUUUGAUACAGCAGCUCACAGAACAUCACACUGCAGAGACACUCCCACCUGUAACUCUUUAUAUCUCUGUAAUUACAUUGACAGUUACAGUAUAUAUGAGACUUGGUGCUUUACAACAUGGACAUUAUCAAACAUGGUCUCCUCAGCUUCUUACUAUUUCUACUUUGGAACAAAGGUAAAGUACAGUGAGAUCUGGGGCUGAGAAAUAUGGUUGAAAUCAAUAUCAUGAUAGAAAUAGGAAUAUUGACUGAUAAAUAAAAAUAUCAAUCAUGGCAAAUUAAUACAAUCCACUAUUAUGCUUUACAUCAGUAAAACUAUUUAUACAUGUCAAACAAUUUACAAUUAGAUGGAAUAUUUACAUUUGGACACCUGCAAAACACUAACAUGAUAUGAGCAUUUCAUCAUGAUACGGCACUAUUCAACUGAGAGUCAAACAGUUUGAAUCACUAAAUUAUCAUCCAGACUGAGUACAAUGAUCUCUGCAUUACAACUAAUACUUUUAUUUCGGGAAUGAAAGCAGACAAUGACAACAGUUGUAAAAUACUCUACUGUAUGUGAGUUAAAAUAUUCACUUGAGGUAACUUUUACUGUUUCACACACAGGUCUAGUUGUUGGGAGUGAUGUCACCCAGACCUCCAUACUGUGGAAAAACAAGGAUGAAAGUGCAACAAUGUCCUGCAACCACACCAAGGGUGCUACCUACAGCCAGAUGUACUGGUACAGACAGGAG